AAUGGCUCAUUAAAUCAGUUAUCGUUUAUUUGAUAGUACCUUACUACUUGGAUAACCGUGGUAAUUCUAGAGCUAAUACAUGCUGAAAACCUCGACUUCGGAAGGGGUGUAUUUAUUAGAUAAAAAGCCAAUGCCCUUCGGGGCUCCUUGGUGAUUCACAAUAACUUCUCAGAUCGCACGGCCUUGCGCCGGCGACGGUUCAUUCAAAUUUCUGCCCUAUCAACUUUCGAUGGUAAGGUAUUGGCUUACCAUGGUUUCAACGGGUAACGGGGAAUUAGGGUUCGAUUCCGGAGAGCGAGCCUGAGAGACGGCUAGCACAUCCAAGGAAGGCAGCAGGCGCGCAAAUUACCCAAUCCCGACACGGGGAGGUAGUGACAAUAAAUACUGAUACAGGGCUCUUUUGGGUCUUGUAAUUGGAAUGAGUACAAUUUAAACCUCUUAACGAGGAACAAUUGGAGGGCAAGUCUGGUGCCAGCAGCCGCGGUAAUUCCAGCUCCAAUAGCGUAUAUUAAAGUUGUUGCAGUUAAAAAGCUCGUAGUUGAACCUUUGGCCUGGCUGGCGGGUCCGCCUCACCGCGUGCACUUGUCCGGCCGGGCCUUCUCUUCUGGAGAACCGCAUGCCCUUCACUGGGUGUGUUGGGGACCAGGACUUUUACUUUGAAAAAAUUAGAGUGUUCAAAGCAGGCCUUUGCUCGAAUACGUUAGCAUGGAAUAAUAGAAUAGGACGUGCGGUCCUAUUUUGUUGGUUUCUAGGACCGCCGUAAUGAUUAAUAGGGACAGUCGGGGGCAUCAGUAUUCAAUUGUCAGAGGUGAAAUUCUUGGAUUUAUUGAAGACUAACUACUGCGAAAGCAUUUGCCAAGGAUGUUUUCAUUAAUCAGUGAACGAAAGUUAGGGGAUCGAAGACGAUCAGAUACCGUCGUAGUCUUAACCAUAAACUAUGCCGACUAGGGAUCGGGCGGUGUUAUUAUUUUGACUCGCUCGGCACCU
rnacentral:rRNA from 1 species